UACGUAGGAGACGAGCGUUGUCCGGAGUUACUGGGCGUAAAGGGUGCGCAGGUGGCGGCGCGCGUGGGGGGGUGAAAUCCCCGGGCUCAACCUGGGCACUGCAGUUGGAACUGGUAAGCUAGAGUAGGGUAGAGGGGUGUGGAAUUCCAGGUGUAGCGGUGAAAUGCGUAGAUAUCUGGAGGAACAUCAGUGGCGAAGGCGACACCCUGGACUCAUACUGACACUGAGGUGCGAAAGCGUGGGGAGCAAACAGG
rnacentral:rRNA from 1 species